CCCGGGCUUGACAUGCACGGAUUAGCUGGCGGAAACGUCAGUAACGCCGCAAGGUGGAACGUGCACAGGUGCUGCAUGGCUGUCGUCAGCUCGUGUCGUGAGAUGUUGGGUUAAGUCCCGUAACGAGCGAAACCCCUGCCUCUAGUUGCCAGCACGUCAUGGUGGGAACUCUAGAGGGACCGCCGGCGUUAAGCCGGAGGAAGGCGGGGAUGACGUCAAGUCCUCAUGGCCCUUAUGCCCGGGGCUGCACACGUGCUACAAUGGGGCGGACAAAGCGACGCGAAACCGCAAGGUCAUAGCCAAUCGCAAAAACCGUUCCUCAGUUCGGAUUGUGGGCUGCAACCCGCCUACAUGAAGCCGGAAUCGCUAGUAAUCGCGGAUCAGCAUUGCCGCGGUGAAUGGGUUCCUGAGCCUUGUACACACCGCCCGUCAAGCCACCAAAGCGGGGGGCAUCCGAAGUCGCCGGAGCCUCACGGCAGGCGCCGAAGAUGAAACCCGUGAUGGGGACUAAGUCGUAACAAGGUAGGCGUAGUGCU
rnacentral:rRNA from 1 species